GACGAACGCUGGCGGCGUGCCUAAUACAUGCAAGUAGAACGCACAGUUUAUACCGUAGCUUGCUACACCAUAGACUGUGAGUUGCGAACGGGUGAGUAACGCGUAGGUAACCUGCCUGGUAGCGGGGGAUAACUAUUGGAAACGAUAGCUAAUACCGCAUAAUAUUAAUUAUUGCAUGAUAAUUAAUGGAAAGGUGCAAUUGCACCACUACCAGAUGGACCUGCGCUGUAUUAGCUAGUAGGUGAGGUAACGGCUCGCCUAGGCGACGAUACAUAGCCGACCUGGGAGGGUGGUCGGCCAAACUGGGACUGGGACACGGCCCAGGCUUCUACGGGAGGCAGCAGUAGGGGAUCCUCGGCCAUUGACGAAAGUCUGACCGAGCAACGCCGCGUGAGUGAAGAAGGGUUUCGGAUCGUAAAGCUCUGUUGUAAGGGAAGAACGGGUGUGAGAGUGGAAAGUUCACACUGUGACGGUAUCUUACCAGAAAGGGACGGCUAACUACGUG
rnacentral:rRNA from 1 species